UACGUAGGGUGCGAGCGUUAAUCGGAAUUACUGGGCGUAAAGCGUGCGCAGGCGGUGAUGUAAGACCGAUGUGAAAUCCCCGGGCUUAACCUGGGAACUGCAUUGGUGACUGCAUCGCUCGAGUAUGGCAGAGGGGGGUAGAAUUCCACGUGUAGCAGUGAAAUGCGUAGAGAUGUGGAGGAAUACCGAUGGCGAAGGCAGCCCCCUGGGUCAAGACUGACGCUCAUGCACGAAAGCGUGGGGAGCAAACAGG
rnacentral:rRNA from 1 species